AUCGUCUCUGUGGAGGGAAGUUGGGGAGGCUCUUUGGUGGCUUGGGAAACGAUUUGACUAUAAAGUAAACUGGUAGACAACCCCUAAAACUGCAUCAUCAUGGAUGAGAAUGAAGAAUUUGAGGACGAGUUUGAGGAAGAGGAGAUUUUCGAGGAAGAGUAUUUUGAGGAGACGGUGACUUCGACCACCUCUCACCAGACCACAUCUCGGGCAGCAGCGGUAACUCAACAGGUAGAAGACAACAGUGAAUUAAACAGCACCAGCAGUUCAUCAUGCUGGGUACUUGCAUGCCAUGAGGGUUAUUCCACCAACGAAGGAAAGGC
ensembl:lncRNA